rnacentral:rRNA from 1 species
UACGUAGGGUGCAAGCGUUGUCCGGAAUUACUGGGCGUAAAGGGCGCGUAGGCGGCCUUCUAAGUCGGACGUGAAAUCCCUCGGCUUAACCGAGGAACUGCGUCCGAUACUGAAAGGCUUGAAUCCGGGAGAGGGAUGUGGAAUUCCUGGUGUAGCGGUGAAAUGCGCAGAUAUCAGGAGGAACACCGGUGGCGAAGGCGGGUCUCUGGGCCGAUACUGACGCUGAGGAGCGAAAGCGUGGGUAGCAAACAGG